rnacentral:rRNA from 1 species
UACGAAGGGAGCUAGCGUUGUUCGGAAUCACUGGGCGUAAAGCGCACGUAGGCGGAUGUGUCAGUCAGGGGUGAAAUCCCGGAGCUCAACUUCGGAACUGCCCUUGAUACAGCACGUCUUGAGUCCGGAAGAGGUGGGUGGAAUUCCUAGUGUAGAGGUGAAAUGCGUAGAUAUCUGGAGGAACACCGGUGGCGAAGGCGGCGUCCUGGACCAACACUGACACUGAUGAGCGAAAGCCAGGGGAGCAAACGGG